CGCACCCUAAAUCCAUAUGCCGCCGCCGCCACCAUCCAUUCCCCCACCGCCACCAUCCACCGCGCUGCCUCCAUCUCCGCCCCCAGCCACCUCUUCGCCCUUCCCAGCCUCACUCCCCCAGCCAGGGAAGGACAGUGGAGCGCGGAUCCGCCGCCUCCCGUCCUCGGUAACGAUGGCGGCGCAUGAAUCCAGCGGCCUCCGUCCUCGGGAACGGCCUGGAGCACGCGGAUCCGCCCUCCGGAGCGGCGGCGGUGUGCUUAGGCAGGCGGGAGCGAGCAGCUACGGCGGCGGCGGAGGCUACGGCGACGACGGCGCCGGUGGCUGCAACGACGACGACGGCGCCGAUAGCUGCGACGACGACAAUGACGAUGACCAGCGGCAGGUCGGCGGCUUGCAAUCGCGGGGCGGGCAGGUGGCGCGGGGCCGCGGGGCCGCGGGGGCGCGCCGGCGCGGGGGCCUCCUCGCCGCCCUCGACCGUCGACGCCCCGCACCACCUCCUCGCCGCUCACGACCGCCUCCUAGCGCGGAGGCUUCGGACGCUCGUCGUCAGCCAACGGUGGUUCGAGGACUGCCUCAAGGAGGGGAGGCGCCUCCCCAAGAAACCCUACAUGUUGGAAAGUGGUGAAGAAGCAGGGCUAGUCCCUGAGCUGCCCACUUUCCCGCGUUCACGAUCCAAGAAAAAUGCAAGCAUGGAGGAUAUAUGCUUGAAAGAAUUACCUGAUGAUUUCUGCAAUACUUCAUAUACGACCGAUGUGCUUGUGGUUGCUGAUUCAGGUUCUGAUUGCGAGCAUCAGCGAUGGUCUGAUUCCUCCCUACUGAAAGAAGUAAGAACUAUUAUAUCAAUUAUUGUCCUUGCAUGAUUUGAUUUCCUGGUAGAAUCCUUUACUGGGACUACAUUCCACAAGUUAAGUUAUAUUCUGUUCAGUACUAUGGUUUAGCAGACUACAUUUCACCACGACCGCACUAGUUGCUGUUCAGUCAGUUCAGACAACAACCAUGCAAUUGUUUGGCAUACCUGUCUAUUGGCAUUGCUGAAUGCCAAUCAUGGCCUUAUUACCAAGUGAAAAAAGUGCUGGAUGAUGGUGGAUCUGUUUUUUUUUUUUUUCAAGCCAUCCAUGGUAUAAAUAUUAGGGUAUCCAUAAAAACAUAUGCAAAAAAUAUUGUAAAGAUAGGGGACUAAAACAUAUGCAAAAAAAUAUUGUAAAGAUAGGGUGUUCAUUAUACUUAAGAUUGACACUUGCCAUUUCUUUUGUAUGCAUGCAUGUUUUAUUUUUGGUCAUGAGCUCAGGGAAUCGAUCAUUCCUUUUCUGCAUGGUCAACAAGGCCUUUAAUUGCUAGCUUGCUGAUGAAAGUCUAGCAAUUUGGUCCAGAACAAAAAUGUAAGUUUAUGAGGAAUCUGUUUAUUUGGAAAGGAAAAAUUGUUAGUCAGAUGGAGGCUAUAGCCCAAAGUAAUGAUUUUUCUGAAGAAAAGAUUUCUUUAAUUUAGUAAUAUAUAUGUGCAUACUUUGGAGGGUGACCAUAUUUUUUCCUCAUAGUUCCUAGCAAAUAUAUAGAAUUGUCCUCUUUGUUUAAACUUAAUUGAGAAGGCAUUAUGACAAUUUUCAAGUUAAAGCACUAGGGGCUUCCCAUUUGCAGGUGUGAGUCCCCUUCACCUCUGUUUUGUGUUUCUCCUUGACGCGAUCUACACCUUUUUUUUUGGCUUCCAAUUCUUUAAUGGGCUUUGCUCUCCAUCCUGAUCUGUUGUAUGCUUCUUCUGUGAAAUGAAGCUAUAAAAAAGUCCAAAGCAGAGCUUUGCUUCAGAGAUUCUAGAUUCAGUUAUUUUAGCUAUUGUAACAUGUAACGUGCAGCUCUCCAAUUAUGUUCCCUUUUUCGUUACAACAAUUCAGUUUGACUGUGGACCUAGGUUCUAGAAUGUUUUUUGUACCAUGUUUUCAGUUGAAUAAAUAUCCGUAAUCCAUAUGAGACUAUGCAUAAUUUCCAGUGAAGAAAGUACUAUUGAUUGCUACUACAAAUUAAUAGUAGUGUCCUGCUGUAGGUUUAGGAUUCAAGGAAUAAUUGGAUUGUGUUUUUGUAAGGUAACCAGAGUUAGAUAGUAGUUAUCUUCUUUCUGAAAAUGAUGGCAGUGCCAACAUCCAUUAUUUCUAAACUUGAGUUGGAGGCUAAACUUGAGGUUGUUCUUGGUCAAAAUGGAGUAAGCUGAUAGACAUGAUGGUGUUUUUCAACUUUUGCUGCCUUUGCUUCUGGAAUCAAACAACACGUUUCAGGUGCUGCAGGUCCUGCUGGUGGGGGGAACCUGAACUUGGACCAGCAACUUUUUUGCUGCUGAUUUUUUGGUUCAGCAAUUUUUUGCUGCUGAUUUUUGUGGUGCUGCAAGUGUUUUCACCAGUUUGUUGAACCAAAAUUGGGUAUACUUGAAUGUUGUGUGAUUCUUGGACAAGUUGGUAGCUUGGUUCUGCUACACAAAUUUUUGUUGCUUGCUGUUGAACUAUUGUUUGAUACUGGAAGUAUCUGAGACUGUUAUUAGGUUGAAUCUAAGAUGAACUAUUGUUUGAAUUC